UAAAUACUGGAAUUCUGUAAAACACUGCAAUCUAUUUUAUCAUCUUUUCUAAACAGAAAGAGCAAAGUCAGGAAAUUCAUUGCUGAGGAGUUGUACUUCUCUUUGAACCUACUUGAUACUAAACAUUUGGGGAGUUAAAGCAGCCAGGUUUCAAUGUAAACAGGCAAAUGACUGAAUCAAAUGCACAAAGUGAACUAUUCAUUUUUCCUUAUGUGUUGAGUGAGCUCUUCUGAUAAUGGGAUAAUAAUGCUUUGUAAUCAUCUAGUGCUUUUCAGCUGAAGAAGUACUGUAAAGCUUUAAUCUUUAUAGUGCCUUUUAAAAAAUGUUAUCUAUCUUACCUGUCCAUUCUCUCUUAGGCUAUAAACAUUCGCUUUCCCACCUGCCUCUCCUCUCUUAGGCCACAGAGCCGUACCCUCCAGGUGUACCAGCAUAAAGCUUACCAACUCCAGAGACAACCACCUCCUCAUCCAAUGUUACUGCUUCCUCUGAUAUUUCAGGAGGGAUCCAUGCUGUUCAAUGACCUUCUCACGUUGGAGUGGACUGAAGCAGAGCAGAGUCAAUCUGCUGACAUCACCUCAGUUGUAAGCAGAGCUCCCUCUCACCCCUCCCUUGCUGCCUCCAUCCUGCACAGGGACGCCCGUGGCUGUGAGCUGCGCUGCCCUCUGACAUCAGCUCCCCCAGUGCACACACGUAUAUCCAUUGCACAGCCUCCUUUCAUUUGCUUCUCAUUCCUGCAAAAAGGGGUUCCCUUGACAUCUUUGCUUCAAGUACAGAGUCUACAUUUAAAAGGAGUACCUUCCUAUUCUUUCUCCUGGGAAUGUUUUUAUUACCCACUGUUAUGUCUCUGUAUCACUUGCUAGUAAAAUAAUAGCGAAGUGUUCGGAGCAGCUGAACCAUACAACAUUUUUCCCUCAUGUGCUUGCCUUUUUCUCUCCCCUAUUGCAAAAGUGCUAUCUGAUUCCCACUAAAACAAGAUUUAAAGAUGACAGCUGUCUUCCAUGUAGUGACAUUCACUAUGAAGAAGAGAAAUGUGGACUGAUUUCUUUAACUUGAUCCUGUACAUGCUCAUUACUGCAGUAAUCCAAACAUUCUCUGUUUGCUGAAUAAGGAAAUAUCUAGUUUGAAAAGAGCUAUUUGGCUUAGUACAGGUUGGUUGGACCCAGCUCUUAUAGGGUCUGCACAAAACCUUUGUUUAUUUUUCUCUGCUGAAAUUGUUCAAAUGGCUUCUCAUUAUCAUUGGGUGGGACUGAAAAGAAGCACUGAUGUCAGUUUUGUGACACGUCCUGUUAUUUAAGUAAUUCACAGUCUAGUCUGGGACACAUUUGACCUUCCUAAAUAAUUGGCUAUGUAGUUGUUUUUUUUUGUUGUUGAUAGGUUUUCUUUUUUCUUUUCCCCUUUAGCAUGAAUAAAUGAAGAAUGAACAAACUAACUACUAUUGGC
rnacentral:lncRNA from 1 species